rnacentral:rRNA from 1 species
GUAGGGAAUAUUGCGCAAUGGGGGAAACCCUGACGCAGCGACGCCGCGUGAGUGAUGAAGGCCUUCGGGUCGUAAAGCUCUGUUGCAGGGGAAUAAAAAAAUGAAGGUACCCUGUGAGGAAGGAUCGGCUAACUUCGUGCCAGCAGCCGCGGUAAGACGAGGGAUCCUAGCGUUGCUCGGAAUCAUUGGGCGUAAAGAGGGCGUAGGUGGCUUGGUAAGUCAGGUGUGAAAGCCCAGGGCUCAACCCUGAAAGUGCAUUUGAUACUGCUGAGCUUGAGUGUCGGAGAGGUUACCGGAAUACCUGGUGUAGUGGUGAAAUACGUAGAUAUCAGGUGGAACACCGGAGGCGAAGGCGGGUAACUGGACGAACACUGACACUGAGGCCCGAAAGCGUGGGGAUCAAACAGGAUUAGAAACCCCGGUAGUCC